rnacentral:rRNA from 1 species
GAUGAACGCUGGCGGCGUGCCUAAUACAUGCAAGUCGAGCGCGACUGAUUACACCGUCCUUUUGGACACCGUAAUCAUCGAGCGACGGACGGGUGAGUAACACGUGGGCGACCUACCCUUAAGACUGGGAUAACCGCGGGAAACCGUGACUAAUACCGGAGAAUACUUUUAUACGACGGCAUAGAACUUGAAAGGUGGAUUUCUAUCACUUAAUGAUGGGCCUGCGGCGCAUUAGCUGGUUGGUAAGGUAACGGCUUACCAAGGCGACGAUGCGUAGCCGACCUGAGAGGGUGAUCGGCCACACUGGAACUGACACACGGUCCAGACUCCUACGGGAGGCAGCAGUAGGGAAUCUUCCGCAAUGGGCGAAAGCCUGACGGAGCAACGCCGCGUGUGCGAAGAAGGUCUUCGGAUCGUAAAGCACUGUUGUUAAGGAAGAACGACAGUAAGAGUAACUGCUUACUGUGUGACGGUACUUAACCAGAAAGCCACGGCUAACUACGUGCCAGCAGCCGCGGUAAUACGUAGGUGGCAAGCGUUAUCCGGAAUUAUUGGGCGUAAAGCGCGCGUAUGCGGCGAGAUUAGUCUGAUGUGAAAGCCCCCGGCUCAACCGGGGAAGGUCAUUGGAAACUGUUUCGCUUGAGUGCAGAAGAGGAGAGUGGAAUUCCAUGUGUAGCGGUGAAAUGCGCAUCGAUAUGGAGGAACACCAGUGGCGAAGGCGGCUCUCUGGUCUGCAACUGACGCUGAUGUGCGAAAGCGUGGGGAUCAAACAGGAUUAGAUACCUUGUUCGUGCACUCAGUAAACGAUGAGUGGUAAGUGGUACGGGGCAUCCGCUCCUUAGUGUAGCAGCAAACGCAUUAAGCACUCCGCGUGGGGAGUACGGCCGCAAGGCUGAUCACUCAAAGGAAUCGACGGGGAGCCCCACAAGCGGUGCAGCAUGUGGAAUAAUUCGAAGCAACGCGAACAACCUUACCAAAUCUCGACAUCCUGUGCGCGUCAAGGAGACAUGAUCCUCCCUUUGGGACAGAGAGACAGGUGGCGCAUGGUUGUUCUCAGCUCGUGUCGAGAGAUGGGGGGAUAAGUCCCGCAGCGAGCGCAACCCUUAACUUUAGUCGCCAUCAUUAAGUUGGGCACUCUAGAGAGACUGCCGGGGUCAAACCGGAGGAAGGUGGGGAUGACGUCAAAUCAUCAUGCCCCUUAUGAUCAGGGCGACACACGUGCUACAAUGGACAGGACCAAAGGGCAGGGACACUGGGAAGUCAAGGGAUUUCCAUAAAACUGUUUUCAGUUGGGAUGGGAUUCUGCAAUUGGCCUCCAGGAAUCGGGAAUCGUUUGUAAUCGAGGAUCAGAAUGCCACGGUGAAUACGUUCCCGGGUCU